rnacentral:rRNA from 1 species
AGUGGCGAACGGGUGAGUAAUGUAUCGGAACGUGCCCAGUAGCGGGGGAUAACUACGCGAAAGCGUAGCUAAUACCGCAUACUAUUGGAGCGGCCGAUAUCGGAUUAGCUAGUUGGUGGGGUAACGGCUCACCAAGGCGACGAUCCGUAGCUGGUUUGAGAGGACGACCAGCCACACUGGGACUGAGACACGGCCCAGACUCCUACGGGAGGCAGCAGUGGGGAAUUUUGGACAAUGGGGGAAACCCUGAUCCAGCCAUCCCGCGUGUGCGAUGAAGGCCUCCGGGUUGUAAAGCACUUUUGGCAGGAAAGCGGUACCUGCAGAAUAAGCACCGGCUAACUACGUGCCAGCAGCCGCGGUAAUACGUAGGGUGCAAGCGUUAAUCGGAAUUACUGGGCGUAAAGCGUGCGCAGGCGGUUCGGAAAGAAAGAUGUGAAAUCCCAGAGCUUAACUUUGGAACUGCAUUUUUAACUACCGGGCUAGAGUGUGUCAGAGGGAGGUGGAAUUCCGCGUGUAGCAGUGAAGUGCGUAGAUAUGCGGAGGAACACCGAUGGCGA